CGUCUAUAUACGUAUAGCAUAUCAAUAAGCGGAGGAAAAGAAACUAACUAGGAUUCCCUCAGUAACGGCGAGUGAAGCGGGAAGAGCUCAAAUUUGAGAUCUUCAAGGUUCUACCUUGACGAAUUGUAGUUUAAAGAAGUGUUUUCUGUUGGAGUUUUGGUAAAAGUUCUUUGGAAUAGGACAUCAUAGAGGGUGAGAAUCCCGUAUUUGACCAUUACUUCCAGCGUUGUGAUACACUUUCAAAGAGUCGGAUUGUUUGGGAAUGCAGUCCAAAAUGGGUGGUAAAUUUCAUCUAAAGCUAAAUAUUGGCGAGAGACCGAUAGCGAACAAGUACCGUGAGGGAAAGAUGAAAAGAACUUUGAAAAGAGAGUUAAACAGUACGUGAAAUUGUCAAAAGGGAAGCGUUUGACACCAGUGUUGUUUUCUCGAAAAUCAAUUAAAAAGUGGUGGAUUUUGUAUUGUUAUGACCUUAUCAGCUUACUGUACUUUUUUCCUGCUCUUUUUAAUGCACUUUUCGUUUAACAAGUCAACAUCAAUUUCUAUUGUUGUAAAAGGGUCAUUGGAAGGUGGCUUUCUUUUCGGAGAAAGUGUUUAUAGCCUUUGACUUCUGCAGUCGGAGAGAUUGAGGUCUGCAGCGUAGAUCCUUCGGGGUUAGAUGCAUUUGUGCUAAGUUAUAGCCUUUCAUAGACAACUUGUUGACUAUGAUCAGUCAUGUAGCUUACUCGCUUAUGUUAUUUUACCUACGCUUAGGAUGUUGACGAUCAGCUGAGCGCG
rnacentral:rRNA from 1 species